GCUUAACCGGAGAAGUGCAUCGGAAACUGGGAGACUUGAGUGCAGAAGAGGACAGUGGAACUCCAUGUGUAGCGGUGGAAUGCGUAGAUAUAUGGAAGAACACCAGUGGCGAAGGCGGCUGUCUAGUCUGUAACUGACGCUGAGGCUCGAAAGCAUGGGUAGCGAACAGGAUUAGAUACCCUGGUAGUCCAUGCCGUAAACGAUGAGUGCUAAGUGUUGGAGGGUUUCCGCCCUUCAGUGCUGCAGCUAACGCAUUAAGCACUCCGCCUGGGGAGUACGACCGCAAGGUUGAAACUCAAAGGAAUUGACGGGGGCCCGCACAAGCGGUGGAGCAUGUGGUUUAAUUCGAAGCUACGCGAAGAACCUUACCAGGUCUUGACAUACUAUGCAAAUCUAAGAGAUUAGACGUUCCCUUCGGGGACAUGGAUACAGGUGGUGCAUGGUUGUCGUCAGCUCGUGUCGUGAGAUGUUGGGUUAAGUCCCGCAACGAGCGCAACCCUUAUUAUCAGUUGCCAGCAUUAAGUUGGGCACUCUGGUGAGACUGCCGGUGACAAACCGGAGGAAGGUGGGGAUGACGUCAAAUCAUCAUGCCCCUUAUGACCUGGGCUACACACGUGCUACAAUGGAUGGUACAACG
rnacentral:rRNA from 1 species